rnacentral:misc_RNA from 1 species
GAUGAAGAACGUAGCGAAAUGCGAUAAGUAAUGUGAAUUGCAGAAUUCAGUGAAUCAUCGAAUCUUUGAACGCACCUUGCGCUCCUUGGUAUUCCGAGGAGCAUGCCUGUUUGAGUGUCAUUAAAUUCUCAACCUUAUUAGCUUUUGCUGAUAAUGGCUUGGACUUGGGGGUCUUUUUGCUGGCUUUCAUUAGUCUGCUCCCCUUAAAUGUAUUAGCCGGUGCCCCGCAGUGGAACCGUCUAUUGGUGUGAUAAUUAUCUACGCCGUGGACGUCUGCUAUAAUGGGUUUGCGCUGCUUCUAACCUUCUCUCGGGACAACACAAAUGACAAUUUGACCUCAAAUCAGGUAGGACUACCCGCUGAACUUAAGCAUAUCAAUAAGCGGAGGA